GCCCGGCUAGCGCAAUGGUAGCGCGCAGGACUUCUAUGAGCUGUUUUUGUUCAUCCUGAGGCUGCGGGUUCGAGUCCCGUACGACC